ensembl:snoRNA
UGCAGCUGAGUCAAAUUCGGUCCUCGCCUGCCCCGCGCUGGGGACCGGCCCAGCAGCUGCCACAGCAGCACCUGUAGCCCCCAGACCCCACUGGCCCCGGCCCCUGGGGACGAGCAAGCGCUACGGACACCG